CGACCCCAGGUCAGGCGGGACUACCCGCUGAGUUUAAACAUAUAAAUAAGCGGAGGAGAAGAAACUUACAAGGAUUCACCUAGUAACGGCGAGCGAACCGGGAGCAGCCCAGCUUGAGAAUCGGGCGGCUGUGCCGUCCGAAUUGUAGUCUGGAGAGGCGUCCUCAGCGACGGACCGGGCCCAAGUCCCCUGGAAAGGGGCGCCUGGGAGGGUGAGAGCCCCGUACGGCCCGGACCCUGUCGCCCCACGAGGCGCCGUCAACGAGUCGGGUUGUUUGGGAAUGCAGCCCAAAUCGGGCGGUAGACUCCGUCCAAGGCUAAAUACAGGCGAGAGACCGAUAGCGAACAAGUACCGCGAGGGAAAGAUGGAAAGGACUUUGAAAAGAGAGUCAAAGAGUGCUUGAAAUUGUCGGGAGGGAAGCGAAUGGGGGCCGGCGAUGCGCCCCGGCCGUAUGCGGAACGGCUCUUGCUGGUCCGCCGCUCGGCUCAGGGUGUGGACUGUUGUCGGCCGCGCCGGCGGCCAAAGCCCGGGGGCCCUAGGUGCCCCCGGUGGCCGUCGUCGGCACGGCCGGUACCCGCGCGCCUAAAGGCGUGUCCCUUGGGGCACUGCGCUGCAACGGCCUGCGGGCUCCCCAUCCGACCCGUCUUGAAACACGGACCAAGGAGUCUGACAUGCGUGCGAGUCGAC
rnacentral:ncRNA from 1 species